UGCCGGGUCGUCUAAGUGGCAGGACGCGGGACUCUGGAUCCCGUAGUGCUGGUUCGAGUCCAGCCCCGGCAG
rnacentral:tRNA from 1 species